CAAAGGCUUCGGCCGGUAAAGGAUGGGGAUGCGUCUGAUUAGCUUGCCGGCGGGGUAACGGCCCACCGGGGCGACGAUCAGUAGGGGUUCUGAGAGGAAGGUCCCCCACAUUGGAACUGAGACACGGUCCAAACUCCUACGGGAGGCAGCAGUGAGGAAUAUUGGUCAAUGGGCGCGAGCCUGAACCAGCCAAGUAGCGUGCAGGACGACGGCCCUAUGGGUUGUAAACUGCUUUUAUACGGGGAUAAAGUAUGCCACGUGUGGUUUAUUGCAGGUACCGUAUGAAUAAGGACCGGCUAAUUCCGUGCCAGCAGCCGCGGUAAUACGGAAGGUCCGGGCGUUAUCCGGAUUUAUUGGGUUUAAAGGGAGCGUAGGCCGGGUUUUAAGCGUGCCGUGAAAUGUCGGGGCUCAACCUUGACACUGCGGCGCGAACUGGAGUCCUUGAGUGCGCGGAACGUAUGCGGAAUUCGUGGUGUAGCGGUGAAAUGCUUAGAUAUCACGAAGAACCCCGAUUGCGAGGGCAGCAUACGGCAGCGCUACUGACGCUGAAGCUCGAAGGCGCGGGUAUCGAACAGGAUUAGAUACCCUGGUAGUCCGCGCGGUAAACGAUGGAUGCCCGCUGUUGGCGAUAUAUUGUCA
rnacentral:rRNA from 1 species